UACGAAAACAAGAGUAUGUUUCGACAAGUUUCAGCCUGACACCACACAUCUAGAAGAAGUAAACUAAAACAAAGACAGGCUCGUGAAAACGUGGUGAAAAGAAAAGAUAACGAGACUCUCAGGAACCACUUCCAUCCAUGGAGUCUACACUCGCCGCUCUCUCAACGGCUUCGGCAAUACCGACGGCCAGAACUACCGGUCCUUCAUUGCCUCGCCACUUUUCCGGCGCCAGGCACCUCCACGUUGGCCGUCUCGGUGGCUCUCACGCCAGCCGACCAAACACCUCAUCUUCGAAUUCGCUUUGUUAUUCCUCCGCGUUGAGAAGCUUGGGAGCUGCUGGUUCGCCGGUGAACGGGCGCCGUCUGCAGUGUUUGUCCAGCUCAUCUCCGUCCUUCAGUGGUGGCGGUGCUGGAUUCGGCGGUUAUAGCGGCGGAAGAAGCGGUGGAGGCGGCGGAGGAGGAUCGGAUAGUGGUGAUUCAAAGUCGAAGUUGGGUGCUGGAGCAGGUGAUGGCGUCUCUGUUCCGUCUUCAGACAUCAUUGUUCUCAGUGUCGGAGGGAUGACAUGUGGUGGUUGUUCAGCAAGCGUGAAGAAGAUCCUGGAAAGCCAACCACAAGUUGCUUCUGCUAGUGUUAACCUCACCACAGAGACAGCUAUAGUGUGGCCUGUACCUGAAGCCAGAAGUGUACCUGACUGGCAAAAGACUUUAGGGGAGACCCUUGCGAAUCAUCUCAGUAACUGUGGUUUUCAGUCUACUCCUCGAGAUGAAGUUCCUGAAGAUAUUGCUGGAGAAUUUGCACCUUGACAGCAGGAAAAAUUUCGCCAGCAGCAUCACUAAAGAUAUAGUAAUGUUCUGUGAUUAAGAGCAGCUGCUAGUGAGGAAUGGAUUGUAGACAUAGGUUUCUGGUUCUUGUGGCACCGUUUAUGAAGAAUUUGUUGUCAGUAUCAUUUGUGAUAUAUAAGGCCAUGUAUUUAUCUUAUGUUUUCCACUGAAUUCAUUCCUUCUCUGGACCAGACAUCAUAAUCUUGUUCUAACUAGGUUAAUUGAAUUUGAGUAUUUUUUAAAUAAAAAAAAAAAGUUUGUAUA